CUACGGGUUGCUGCAGUGGGGAAUAUUGGACAAUGGGCGCAAGCCUGAUCCAGCAGUGCCGCGUGAGUGAAGACGGCCUUAGGGUUGUAAAACUCUUUCGCCAGGGAAGAUAAUGACUGUACCUGGUAAAGAAGUCCCGGCUAACUCCGUGCCAGCAGCCGCGGUAAUACGGAGGGGACUAGCGUUGUUCGGAAUUACUGGGCGUAAAGAGUUCGUAGGCGGACUGACAAGUUAGAGGUGAAAUCCCAGGGCUCAACCCUGGAACUGCCUUUAAAACUGUCAGUCUAGAGACCGGAAGAGGUUAGGGGAAUACCUAGUGUAGAGGUGAAAUUCGUAGAUAUUAGGUGGAACACCAGUGGCGAAGGCGCCUAACUGGUCCGGUACUGACGCUGAGGAACGAAAGCGUGGGGAGCAAACAGGAUUAGAUACCCUCGUAGUC
rnacentral:rRNA from 1 species